rnacentral:rRNA from 1 species
AACGAACGCUGGCGGCAGGCCUAACACAUGCAAGUCGAACGCCGUAGCAAUACGGAGUGGCAGACGGGUGAGUAACACGUGGGAACGUACCUUUCGGUUCGGAAUAACUCAGGGAAACUUGAGCUAAUACCGGAUACGUGCGAGAGCAGAAAGAUUUAUCGCCGAAAGAUCGGCCCGCGUCCCGAUUAGCUUGUUGGUGAGGUAAUGGCUCACCAAGGCGACGAUCGGUAGCUGGUCUGAGAGGAUGAUCAGCCACACUGGGACUGAGACACGGCCCAGACUCCUACGGGAGGCAGCAGUGGGGAAUAUUGGACAAUGGGCGAAAGCCUGAUCCAGCCAUGCCGCGUGAGUGAUGAAGGCCUUAGGGUUGUAAAGCUCUUUUGUCCGGGAAGAUAAUGACGGUACCGGAAGAAUAAGCCCCGGCUAACUUCGUGCCAGCAGCCGCGGUAAU